CCCUUAGAUAUUCUGGGCUGCACGCGUGCUACAAUGGCGUUUCCAGCAAGUCUGCGAACCCGAGAGGGCCAGCGGAUCUUCGAAUUGGCGUCGUGAUCGGGACAGUCGAUUGCAAUUAUUUGACUCAAACGAGGAAUUCCUUGUAAUCGCGAUUCAUCAUAUCGCGCUGAAUACGUCCCUGCCCUUUGUACACACCGCCCGUCGCUCCUACCGAUUGAGCGAUCCGGUAAAUGUUUUGGAUUGGUGCCGGGGCGGCUAGCUGCCGGUCGCUACGAAAUUUUGUGAACCUUAUCGCUUAGAGGAAGGAAAAGUCGUAACA
rnacentral:rRNA from 1 species